AACGAACGCUGGCGGCAGGCUUAACACAUGCAAGUCGAACGCACCGCAAGGUGAGUGGCAGACGGGUGAGUAACGCGUGGGAACCUUCCCUGUGGUACGGAAUAACUUCGGGAAACCGAAGCUAAUACCGUAUAUCCCCUCCGGGGGAAAGAUUUAUCGCCAUAGGAUGGGCCCGCGUUGGAUUAGCUAGUUGGUGAGGUAAUGGCUCACCAAGGCGACGAUCCAUAGCUGGUCUGAGAGGAUGAUCAGCCACAUUGGGACUGAGACACGGCCCAAACUCCUACGGGAGGCAGCAGUGGGGAAUAUUGGACAAUGGGCGCAAGCCUGAUCCAGCCAUGCCGCGUGAGUGAAGAAGGCCUUAGGGUUGUAAAGCUCUUUCGCUAGGGACGAUAAUGACGGUACCUAGAUAAGAAGCCCCGGCUAACUUCGUGCCAGCCGCCGCAGUAAGAC
rnacentral:rRNA from 1 species